AGGGGCUGGAGGCUGCAGCACCUCUGGGGCCCAGCUGAGGGGCUCUGGGGUCUUCAGAGCAUUGGGGCCAGGCUCGCAGCAGCUCUGGGGCCAUUGGAGGCUCUGGGGCCAGGCCUGUGGCCGCUGUGGGGCCAGGCUGGGGGCUCUGGGGGUGUCUUUGGGGCUGCGGGGUUCUGGGACCAGUUCUGGCAGCGCCAUUUCAUCCCUGUGUGUUCUGGCUGCAAGGUCUUUGUGGGAUGCUGUCCUGCACUGUGUGGGCAGCGGUGACCGUCCCUGCUCUUCCCCUGAAUCACAGAAUCACUGAAUGGUUUGGGUUGGAAGGGGCUUAAAGAUUCCCUAACUCCAACCCACCGGAUCAGGUUGGCCAAGGCCCCAUCCAGCCUCACCUUGAGCCCCUUCAGGGCACCCACAGUGUCUCCGUGCAGCCUGUCCCAGUGCCUCACACCCCCAAAGCGAAGAAUUCCUCCUAAUGCCCGGUCCAAUUCUGUCCUCUUUUAACUUAAGACCGCAUUUAAUGGGAUCUCGACCUGCCUGGUGGGAUCUGGAGCUGUGGGUUUGCAAGCCCAUCCCAGAAAAGCAAUGAGAAACCUUGCAGCCAUGGGGUUCAGCAGCCUCCUAACUGCCUGGAGGGUGUUUAUUUUUGUCGUUAAAAGGCGAGCAUGUGUUUCUCUUCUAUCCUGCUACUUCUACAGCUGCCUACUGGGGAUUUUAAAUUAUUUUUAUUAUUUUAUAUUUCAUUUAUGUCUGGAGGCCCUUUCAUGCUAGACUCUGUACAAACACAGUCUUCCCUACUGAGUUUACAGUCUAGGCAGACAAUGGAUGAGAGAAAUUAAGUGUUAAUGGCUCCAUUUUAUAGCAGGGAAUUGAGACCUGCUGUUCCAUAGUGUUUGGUCUAGGAUCACGCAGGGAAUGUGUAGGCAAGCUGGGAAGGGAACCAGAUCUCACAGAACCAGAUCUUACAAGCGCCAGUCUCUCUGCUGAGGCGUUUGUCAUCCCUCAGCCUGGUGUUUCUUCAGAGCCUGUGGUGAAGAAGUGAUCAGGACUCAUUGAAAUCUGGAGGAAUUGGUUCACAAAGCCGUGCCACGCCAAGUGCUCUGCUCAGAAAAGUGAACCACGAGGGCAGAGACAGAGCGCAGAGCAAGUGUUAGAAAGUUCAGGCUGGAAUUGAGAAGUUUCUGUAUCGCUUUGGUGCGUUGUCCACCUACUUGCAGGUGUUGGGUAGCCUUUUCUGUGCAGUCAGCCAUGGGCAUGCUUAGAAGAGCACCGAAGUGCCUAGAAAGUUGAAAUGGCAGGACGGGGAGGGUUAACAGAAGCCCUGGUACUACAGAUUGGCUUUGCACUGUUGUCCAGAGCCUGUCAAACGUGGAACCAGUGCUCUUACACAUUUACUUUGCAGGGAAAGCUGGGGGAUGCACAGUGUCCGGAGGCACCACAGCAGUGGAGAGCGCUUCAGCCAGGAGAAGAGACCCCAAAAAAUGGCACUGUGGCAGGGCAGUACUGAUUUGAAGCUAGGGUGAUCAACAAACAGCUCUUGGCAGGAUCAGAAGGAUAUGAUAUGAACUGUUACGAUACACACAAGGUACAUCCUGUGCAGGAAAUACAAGGGAAAAACCAAAGCAGGUGGGACUCCAUCCAGCUUCAUCCAGCUCUGCCCGUGGCCGCACAGAAUAUCACCCACACCGUAUUUCACGUUCUGGCUCACGGAGCUGCGCAAGAACUGCUGGCAAUUCCAGGGAUAAUCCUUUACGUAAGCAGAGCUCCUACAACUGAAGUCCUCAUUUUGUUUGAAGGAGAUUAGCUUUGCAAGACUAUCCCCUGUGAUGCAGUUCUUAUCCCAGAUGCAGAGACCAGGGACACCCUUGGACAACAGUUACCAAGUUUUCUUUGGACAGCUCAGGAUGUGUUUGUGCUGUCGGUGGAGUCAGGGAGAUGGCUUCAGGAACUGAAAGGUGUAAAGGGAACAUCCAGCUGCGACAUCCCUGAAGCUUUAAGUUAUAAUGAAAAUACAUAUGCCUUUGCAAGAAGACAAGAGAGACACAUUUUUCUCUUCAAAGUGGAGAUGUUGUCAAUAAUGGUGAAGGUUCUAUGGUUUCAGUUUUUCCACACAAGAGAAAGUUUGUGGUUAGGAAAGAAAGAUGACAAAUGCUGUCCAGUUUUAUGAGGAGAAAAAAAUUUCCUUCAAUCUGUAUUUUAAAAAUGUUCUCUGUGAUGGUACUCUUGUUAAUCAAAUGCACCUACAUAAACAACUUCAAUUUGUCUACUUCUGCUAUCACUAUUUUAUUUUAUAUAGUGUUUAUUUAAUAAUAAAAAUAUAG